CAGUAGCCACGGGAAUACGGAGGGGGCUAGCGUUGUUCGGAAUUACUGGGCGUAAAGCGCACGUAGGCGGCUUGGUAAGUUAGAGGUGAAAGCCUGGAGCUCAACUCCAGAAUUGCCUUUAAGACUGCCGAGCUAGCAGGUGAGAGAGGUAAGUGGAAUUCCGAGUGUAGAGGUGAAACUCGUAGAUAUUCGGAAGAACACCAGUGGCGAAGGCGGCUUACUGGCUCAUACUGGACGCUGAGGUGCGAAAGCGUGGGGAGCAAACAGGAUUAGAUACCCCCGUAGUCCCUGUCUCUUAUAC
rnacentral:rRNA from 1 species